AGAGGGCCAGUAUUAUUUUAGUAAAAAAAUUAUUGUAGUUUUCAAAUUUCAAGUUGGGUUUAUUAUUAAAUAAAAUCAAGGUUAUUCAAAUAACCGUGUUUUUUAACAGACGUCAAAAAGGAAACAAAAAUAAACAAAGAAGAAAAAUAAGCUAGCUGAAACGGGAUCAAACAAUACAAAUUGUGAGAUUACGAAUUUGUGCUUCAAAACAUCGAAUCUUCUGUCCCUGGAAAACAAUAAAGAACGAAAAUUUUGGUCACCGGAACUACUUCUGCCAGAUUGGUGCUCAGCCGAUGGAGCCGGUGUUCCUAACCUCCGUUGAAAGACCUUUGAAAAGUUCACGGUUGGGCGGGAAAUCCACCCCAAACGCAAAGUUAGUCAUGAUAUUCUUCAAUCUGACUCCAUUAUCAAGCACUCCCAACGAGCUCUGGAACCAUCGCUGCGGGACCCGUAACAGACGGAUAACGAAUAUUUUCCGGGCAAAAUUUCUUCUGGAAGCAGCAACAUGAUUCUCGAAUUAAGAAAAUGCAUAUUGUGAUUUGUGUCAUUUAAAUUGUGAAUAAAUAUUAUUAAAUAGUU